AGUGAACGCUGGCGGUAGGCCUAACACAUGCAAGUCGAACGGCAGCACAGUAAGAGCUUGCUCUUACGGGUGGCGAGUGGCGGACGGGUGAGGAAUACAUCGGAAUCUACUUUUUCGUGGGGGAUAACGUAGGGAAACUUACGCUAAUACCGCAUACGACCUACGGGUGAAAGCAGGGGAUCUUCGGACCUUGCGCGAUUGAAUGAGCCGAUGUCGGAUUAGCUAGUUGGCGGGGUGAAGGCCCACCAAGGCGACGAUCCGUAGCUGGUCUGAGAGGAUGAUCAGCCACACUGGAACUGGGACACGGUCCAGACUCCUACGGGAGGCAGCAGUGGGGAAUAUUGGACAAUGGGCGCAAGCCUGAUCCAGCUAUACCGCGUGGGUGAAGAAGGCCUUCGGGUUGUAAAGCCCUUUUGUUGGGAAAGAAAAGCAGCAGGUUAAUACCCCGCUGUUCUGACGGUACCCAAAGAAUAAGCACCGGCUAACUUCGUG
rnacentral:rRNA from 1 species